CGGGAAUUUUGGGCAAUGGGCGAAAGCCUGACCCAGCAACGCCGCGUGAGGGAUGAAGUAUUUCGGUAUGUAAACCUCGAAAGAAUGGGAAGAAUAAAUGACGGUACCAUUUAUAAGCUCCGGCUAACUACGUGCCAGCAGCCGCGGUAAUACGUAGGGAGCAAGCGUUGUUCGGAUUUACUGGGCGUAAAGGGCGCGUAGGCGGCGCGGUAAGUCACUUGUGAAAUCUCUGAGCUUAACUCAGAACGGCCAAGUGAUACUGCUGUGCUAGAGUGCGGAAGAGGCAACCGGAAUUCUUGGUGUAGCGGUGAAAUGCGUAGAUAUCAAGAGGAACACCUGAGGCGAAGGCGGGUUGCUGGGCCGGCACUGACGCUGAUGCGCGAAAGCCAGGGGAGCAAACG
rnacentral:rRNA from 1 species